GUUAAGCGACUAAGCGUACACGGUGGAUGCCCUGGCAGUCAGAGGCGAUGAAGGACGUGCUAAUCUGCGAUAAGCGUCGGUAAGGUGAUAUGAACCGUUAUAACCGGCGAUUUCCGAAUGGGGAAACCCAGUGUGUUUCGACACACUAUCAUUAACUGAAUCCAUAGGUUAAUGAGGCGAACCGGGGGAACUGAAACAUCUAAGUACCCCGAGGAAAAGAAAUCAACCGAGAUUCCCCCAGUAGCGGCGAGCGAACGGGGAGCAGCCCAGAGCCUGAAUCAGUGUGUGUGUUAGUGGAAGCGUCUGGAAAGGCGCGCGAUACAGGGUGACAGCCCCGUACACAAAAAUGCACAUGCUGUGAGCUCGAUGAGUAGGGCGGGACACGUGGUAUCCUGUCUGAAUAUGGGGGGACCAUCCUCCAAGGCUAAAUACUCCUGACUGACCGAUAGUGAACCAGUACCGUGAGGGAAAGGCGAAAAGAACCCCGGCGAGGGGAGUGAAAAAGAACCUGAAACCGUGUACGUACAAGCAGUGGGAGCACGCUUAGGCGUGUGACUGCGUACCUUUUGUAUAAUGGGUCAGCGACUUAUAUUCUGUAGCAAGGUUAACCGAAUAGGGGAGCCGAAGGGAAACCGAGUCUUAACUGGGCGUUAAGUUGCAGGGUAUAGACCCGAAACCCGGUGAUCUAGCCAUGGGCAGGUUGAAGGUUGGGUAACACUAACUGGAGGACCGAACCGACUAAUGUUGAAAAAUUAGCGGAUGACUUGUGGCUGGGGGUGAAAGGCCAAUCAAACCGGGAGAUAGCUGGUUCUCCCCGAAAGCUAUUUAGGUAGCGCCUCGUGAAUUCAUCUCCGGGGGUAGAGCACUGUUUCGGCAAGGGGGUCAUCCCGACUUACCAACCCGAUGCAAACUGCGAAUACCGGAGAAUGUUAUCACGGGAGACACACGGCGGGUGCUAACGUCCGUCGUGAAGAGGGAAACAACCCAGACCGCCAGCUAAGGUCCCAAAGUCAUGGUUAAGUGGGAAACGAUGUGGGAAGGCCCAGACAGCCAGGAUGUUGGCUUAGAAGCAGCCAUCAUUUAAAGAAAGCGUAAUAGCUCACUGGUCGAGUCGGCCUGCGCGGAAGAUGUAACGGGGCUAAACCAUGCACCGAAGCUGCGGCAGCGACGCUGAUGCGUUGUUGGGUAGGGGAGCGUUCUGUAAGCCUGCGAAGGUGUGCUGUGAGGCAUGCUGGAGGUAUCAGAAGUGCGAAUGCUGACAUAAGUAACGAUAAAGCGGGUGAAAAGCCCGCUCGCCGGAAGACCAAGGGUUCCUGUCCAACGUUAAUCGGGGCAGGGUGAGUCGACCCCUAAGGCGAGGCCGAAAGGCGUAGUCGAUGGGAAACAGGUUAAUAUUCCUGUACUUGGUGUUACUGCGAAGGGGGGACGGAGAAGGCUAUGUUGGCCGGGCGACGGUUGUCCCGGUUUAAGCGUGUAGGCUGGUUUUCCAGGCAAAUCCGGAAAAUCAAGGCUGAGGCGUGAUGACGAGGCACUACGGUGCUGAAGCAACAAAUGCCCUGCUUCCAGGAAAAGCCUCUAAGCAUCAGGUAACAUCAAAUCGUACCCCAAACCGACACAGGUGGUCAGGUAGAGAAUACCAAGGCGCUUGAGAGAACUCGGGUGAAGGAACUAGGCAAAAUGGUGCCGUAACUUCGGGAGAAGGCACGCUGAUAUGUAGGUGAAGUCCCUUGCGGAUGGAGCUGAAAUCAGUCGAAGAUACCAGCUGGCUGCAACUGUUUAUUAAAAACACAGCACUGUGCAAACACGAAAGUGGACGUAUACGGUGUGACGCCUGCCCGGUGCCGGAAGGUUAAUUGAUGGGGUCAGCGCAAGCGAAGCUCUUGAUCGAAGCCCCGGUAAACGGCGGCCGUAACUAUAACGGUCCUAAGGUAGCGAAAUUCCUUGUCGGGUAAGUUCCGACCUGCACGAAUGGCGUAAUGAUGGCCAGGCUGUCUCCACCCGAGACUCAGUGAAAUUGAACUCGCUGUGAAGAUGCAGUGUACCCGCGGCAAGACGGAAAGACCCCGUGAACCUUUACUAUAGCUUGACACUGAACAUUGAGCCUUGAUGUGUAGGAUAGGUGGGAGGCUUUGAAGUGUGGACGCCAGUCUGCAUGGAGCCGACCUUGAAAUACCACCCUUUAAUGUUUGAUGUUCUAACGUUGACCCGUAAUCCGGGUUGCGGACAGUGUCUGGUGGGUAGUUUGACUGGGGCGGUCUCCUCCUAAAGAGUAACGGAGGAGCACGAAGGUUGGCUAAUCCUGGUCGGACAUCAGGAGGUUAGUGCAAUGGCAUAAGCCAGCUUGACUGCGAGCGUGACGGCGCGAGCAGGUGCGAAAGCAGGUCAUAGUGAUCCGGUGGUUCUGAAUGGAAGGGCCAUCGCUCAACGGAUAAAAGGUACUCCGGGGAUAACAGGCUGAUACCGCCCAAGAGUUCAUAUCGACGGCGGUGUUUGGCACCUCGAUGUCGGCUCAUCACAUCCUGGGGCUGAAGUAGGUCCCAAGGGUAUGGCUGUUCGCCAUUUAAAGUGGUACGCGAGCUGGGUUUAGAACGUCGUGAGACAGUUCGGUCCCUAUCUGCCGUGGGCGCUGGAGAACUGAGGGGGCUGCUCCUAGUACGAGAGGACCGGAGUGGACGCAUCACUGGUGUUCGGGUUGUCAUGCCAAUGGCACUGCCCGGUAGCUAAAUGCGGAAGAGAUAAGUGCUGAAAGCAUCUAAGCACGAAACUUGCCCCGAGAUGAGUUCUCCCUGACCCUUUAAGGGUCCUGAAGGAACGUUGAAGACGACGACGUUGAUAGGCCGGGUGUGUAAGCGCAGCGAUGCGUUGAGCUAACCGGUACUAAUGAACCGUGAGGCUUAACCU
rnacentral:rRNA from 1 species